rnacentral:rRNA from 1 species
UGCCAGCAGCCGCGGUAAUACGAAGGGUGCUAGCGUUGUUCGGAAUUACUGGGCGUAAAGAGCAUGUAGGCGGACUGUUAAGUCUGAUGUGAAAGCCCGGGGCUCAACCCCGGAAUAGCGCUUGAUACUGAACUGCUUGAGACCGGAAGAGGGUAGUGGAAUUCCCAGUGUAGAGGUGAAAUUCGUAGAUAUUUGGAGGAACACCAGUGGCGAAGGCGGCUCACUGGCUCGAUACUGACGCUGAGGUACGAAAGUGUGGGGAGCAAACAGGAUUAGAUA